AAUUGUGUCCAUAGGACACGAGUGCCCCCACCGCGCCACUGUUCUGUCAAUCUUAUGACUCUAGGUCAAAUAUUUUUUGAAAACUAAAAAUCUUUUACUAAGUAAAGGGCAAGAACUUUACAAAUACUGAAUAAAUCCACAAGCAAACCCCAAGUUGAAAAUUGCAAAUUUAUACUACUGUAAGUCAAGGGCAAUAACU